rnacentral:rRNA from 1 species
UACGUAGGGCGCAAGCGUUGUCCGGAAUUAUUGGGCGUAAAGAGCUCGUAGGCGGCCUGUCGCGUCCGCUGUGAAAUCCCGGGGCUUAACCCCGGGCGUGCAGUGGAUACGGGCUGGCUGGAGGCAGGCAGGGGAGAACGGAAUUCCCGGUGUAGCGGUGAAAUGCGCAGAUAUCGGGAGGAACACCUGUGGCGAAAGCGGCUCACUGGACCAUAACUGACGCUGAUGCACGAAAGCUGGGGGAGCAAACAGG